rnacentral:lncRNA from 1 species
UAAGGAUGUUACUUUGGUCCUUCAGCCAGUGGUCAGAGAACAGAAUGACCAUACUGCAACCACCCAUGGUGAACUGACUGGCACACCCACAAAAAUCUUAUCUUUGGGGUCCCCAUAGUACCCAGUGGAUUGCCUUGCACAUUGUAGGUGCUCAGUAUGUGUUUGCUAAAGACAUGGCCCUGGAUAAAUCACUUCACCUCAAUUAGUCUGUUUUCCAAAUCUGAAAAUAAAAGCGGUGAAAUGGACAAGGUGACAGUUAAGGCCUUGAAUCAGAAGAGCCUCUGACAACGUGACAAAUAGCUGAUUUGCGCCAACACCCACCUUAAUGCCUCAGAGGUAAGGGUCAGUGUAGUACAUGAAUCUAUUUCUCUAGGCUCUCCUCCUUACAAAGCCCUUCCCCUCUCAGUCUUGGCAAGACGUUGGCCACGCUCACCACUUCCACUUGCUCCUUUCCCAGCACCGAGCUCUGA